rnacentral:rRNA from 1 species
UACGAGAGGCCCAAACGUUAUUCGGAUUUACUGGGCUUAAAGAGUUCGUAGGCGGUCCGUCAAGUGGGGUGUGAAAGCCCUCGGCUCAACCGAGGAAUUGCGCUCCAAACUGUCGGGCUCGAGGGAGAUAGAGGUGAGCGGAACUGAUGGUGGAGCGGUGAAAUGCGUUGAUAUCAUCAGGAACACCAGAGGCGAAGGCGGCUCACUGGGUCUUUUCUGACGCUGAGGGACGAAAGCCAGGGUAGCGAACGGG